UACACGAUAUUAUGGGUUAAUCACAUUCUUCUUGAAUCGGCUUAUCUGAGAAUCCUGCUUCUGUGAAACAAUUUCUAAUUGUUAUUUCCGAAACUUUAUUUUGUCAUACUUUUGAAAGCUCCGAAAUACAAAUGACAUUUUUAGCAGGUUUACAGUUUUCACGCUUGAAAAAAGUUUUUUAAGAAUCAUUUGUCGAUAGUGAAAUUUCAGAUUUUCUAUUACUUCUUGAUCCGUCGGCUGUAAUUUUGAUGUUGCAGGGGAGAGGGUGUAGCUAACUUGACAUUUACUAAUUGUAAUAGAAUUUUUUUCAGUAAUUUAUUUUCCACUUUUUUCAACAACGAAAUUUUAUCCGUGAUAUUUAAGGUUUUUUUUUUUUGACCUACUGGUUCUUAAUACACGUGUAAAAUAUGCAACCCAAACUAAUGAACGAUCAGUGACGUCUAGUUGGCGACAGCUGAUUUUAUAGUAGGUUUUAUAAUAGAUCGUCUCUCAUGUAUAUCAACAUCGAUAACAAUAAUCUAAGGUAAUAAAAUUUAACGAGGUAUGAUAAUAUAUUAUGAAAUGCACAACUUCUAGGAGGAUAUGAGAACCCCGGAUAUAUCAGCUCAAAACCCAUAUAUAAGGAAAAAUUAGAUUAAAUAAAAAAAAAAA